ensembl:lncRNA
GGCUUUUUGUCCAGGUGGGUAGUCGUACCUGAUCACAGGAUUCCUGCCUGACGCCAGCUCCUAGCACGGCUGAAGUCAAAUGAUGGCACCGUGGCGCUUCGGCUGAUUCUACCAGCAGACACUGAAAGGGCUCUUAUAGUUCACACGAGUCGGAUUCACGGUUGUGGCCCUACGUCUACCCCAGUAAAUACUCAGAAGCUCCAAAACUACAGGAAGAGGAAAGGUGGAAGGACGAGAGGGAGCGAAAACGAGACAGGAAAGGGAAAGAAGAGAGGCUACGACCAAAGGAGGGACUCCAGAAAGAGGAGGGGAAGGAUGGCCAAGAGGGCAGGACACAGCUGCCCCUGGAGGAGCACCGAGGGGAAGGGAAGGAGCCACGACCCCCCCACAUACAGUUUCCAUCUUCUUUGGCUCAGCACCAGGGAUACAUGCAAUACAUGCAUGGACUUUAUGCCUACAGCCAGGGCUACGAGCCCAGCCACCCUGGGUACAGAAGCAUGCCCUCGGGUGUGAUGCAAAAUUAUCCAGGCUCAUACCUACCGACGGGUUACUCCUUUCCCUCAUAUGGAGGAAAGGUGGCAGUGGGUGAGGAUGGGGAGAAACCCUCUAGGUCCAGUCCAACGAUGAAGCCGGCCAGUGAGGCCAAAGCUCUGGACUUACUACAGCAGCAUGCCAGCUAGUACAAAAGCAAAUCCCCAUCCGUCCAAGACGACAAGACCCCACAUGACCGAGACAGGGAGAGAGAAGGCGACCGGCCGCAAUCCUCACCCUCUCAGCGCAUCCUGCCUGCCCAUCAUCAUUUGGGAUACCCUUUGCUGUCAGGACAGUAUGAUCCGUCCUACACCUCAGGCCUCUCCUCCUCAGCCAUUGUUGCCAGUCAGCAAGCAUCUGCCCCAUCUAUGUACCCUCCUGCACGAAGGUGAGAAUGGUAAGAUAAACACACUUUCGUAUUAGAUUGUUAUACUCUUAAACAGUAUUUUAAUUUACUUUAUUAUAUUCACACUCGAACACACCUAAACUUGUCUAUGCUUAUAACAUUAAAAGCUGACCUCUCCAAUUUCUAUCCAUCUUACUUAAACAACUCUGUAAUCUAGUUAGAACAAGUGCAGUGACCACAAAUGUUUGUCAUCUGUGUGAUUCAGAAUUUGCUGAAGCAGACAUGUAUCACUUCGGUCUAGUUGACUCGAGUGCCUUUAUUCCGAUGUUACAGUACAAUAGCACCAUCUAGGGGUAUGAAAUCAGUAUCUCAGUGUAGCUGAGUGGCAGUAUGGUCUGUAUGUCAUAUUGUUGGCUGUUGGGAAUUGUUGGAAAAAAUAGUAUAUAAUUCGUAUAUAAACAACCUGCUUGUGUGUACUUGCAUACAAGUACUGUACAUCAAGAACACCUAAGGACUGGACUGAGUAACUUAAAUGCUAAACAUAUCUCUGGCCAAUUAAACCAAGGUUUCUGCAGAACUAAAACGGAAGUGAAAUUAUUCUUAUAUUGUUUUUAACAAUUGGUGGACAUUCCAGUUGUUAUUUGAUGGCAGUGCAAGGUUACAUGUACUUGCAAGUGGAACUUCCUGGAACUUUUAUCCUCAAAAAAGGACAAAUAGUCACGCUCACAUUCACACCUAUGGACAAUUUGGAAUCACCAAUUAACCUCAGCAUGUUUUUAGACUGUGGGAGGAAGCUGAAGUACCAGGAGAAAACCCACAUAGGAGAACACACAAACUCCACACAGGACCUUCUAGCUGUGAGGCAACAUUACUAAACACACUACCACCACAUAAUGCAAGAGCUGUAAAAUCCAAACAACUUACAGAUGGCUGUAUGGUUGAAUUAGUUACUGGGAAUGAUUUUAUUGCCUAUUCUUCAGUACCGAUGAGGGUUUUUUUCAUGUAGUCUUGGGCAAAGUCUAAACCAAAAGCUUACGUUUUAAUUUUAAAAUAAUCUCCAUCCAAAUGUCAUUUAGUACCAUUUUAGAAAUCAUCUCCAUGCAUACAUACCUGUAAAUACUUAUCAUAUGACUAUUCGUGUACACUAAGCAUGCAGGUACUUGUAUGCAAAUGAAGCUUAUUUUGAGAAAAUAUUAUAAAGGACAAACAGCAAUG